rnacentral:misc_RNA from 1 species
AGUGAACAUCUCUAGAAACUACUUUAUAUAGACUGCCCUUACUCCUGUGCAAAAGAAGAUGCAGCAAUACAACUUCCUUCUAUUCGUGCUGUUGACCGUUCUCUGUGUGAGGGCCGCACACAGCUGUAUGUGUGAUAUCACUCACCCCCAGAACAAAUUCUGCUCAGCUGAUUUCGUGAUUAAAGCAACUAUAGUGAGAGAAGACUUAGAAUUUGCGAACAAUGCGGACGAUAUUCCAUUCCCGUUGAUGAAAAAUUAUACCGUGCAAUACAAAAACACAGAUAUCUAUAAGGUAGAGCCAUUGACGAUUCUGUGAUUGUCAACGAUUUUUCUUUGAAUUCUAACACAUGUAUGUAAAUGUAUGAACUUGACAUGUAAUAAGCUGAAAAGACAAUUAGUCGUUAGAUGAUUGUUGUUCUUUUUUUUCUUUCCCGAAGAACAUAAUAAUUCGUUGCUUCCUUGUUUGAAACUGAUAAAAGGUUUACUUGUCCAUGAUUGAAUUGUUUGAUUUCACUGUGUACAGGGGUCAUCUCUGCUGGGUUCUAGCGACACUCUGGUCAUCAAGACUUCCGGUACUCCGUGGAACUGUGGGGAAACAUUCACUCUCAACAAAGAAUAUGUCAUUUCAGGGUUUGUCAGUGAUGGCGAGUUCUUCACAAACCAUUGCCAGUGGAACCCUGAGUACCUCAGUCUGAAGCCUCACCAAAGACGGGGACUCCGACACAUGUAUGGACAAGGCUGUGGUUGCACGGUGCAUUAUUGUCGCGGGGAUGCGUGCGAUGGUGACUUCCCCAAAUCAUUGAAUCCGAACCAGGCCUGUAUUUGGCCAGGGUCUUACAACACGAACGACUGCUACGCCAAAUACGGGUUCUGUUUACCGGAUGUUGUAGGAGUCUGCAACUGGAAACAAAACCGGAUGUUGAGAGGAUGUCUAAAGAAGGAAGGAGGGGUUCUACCGUGAACCAAACUACCAAAGACUGAUCUAGCAGUGAUAUAUAUUGCAUACUGACUUGCUUUUAAGAAUUAAAAAAACAGUAUUAUUGAUUUUCUUCACUGUAUUAUAUAAUGCAGUAGUAAAAUGUCAGAUCACAUAAUAGUACACACAUGAUUUCAAUCAAAAUAUGUUUGUCCUUUUGCAUUGCAUUUUUAUAUUUCAUUGAAAAAUAUAUAUACAUAUUUUACUUUUC